GAAAGCCAAAACAUACCUCAUUCUAACACCUUUUGGGUUGUGUGCUUGGGACCAAGGUGUCCUCUGCAAGCAUGUGGAUUAUAAAAACCCAAGACAGAAGGGACUUUCACUUCCGGGACACAUCGGCAGAUGAUCUGGUAUGUGUAGUGCUUCCACAUAUAUAGAUCAUCCCACACAUAUUACUUGCUUUCUCUUCUUAUUUUGUUUUUCUAUGACCUGGACAGUUCAU
rnacentral:lncRNA from 1 species